GACCAGAGUAAGGGGUGUCUACAGGGAAGUGGUAGAGUCAGAUUUAUGUUUUAGCAGGAUCGGUGGCUGCAGUGUAGGGAGGCUCAAGUGGAGUAAGCAGGCCAGGGGGAACAUGAUGUAGUGACCCAUUAUAGUGGUCUAAACUACGAUGGCAGCAGUGAGGUGGUUUUCCCAGAAGAGGGGGAAGUGUAGGCAGUCGGACACAGAUCUGGCAGCCAUCAGCAAGUACGUGGUAGUUAAAGCCAGAGGAUAGACGGGGAUUGUACCGAGGACAUGUGCAGAAGGAAAAAGGAAAAGGUCCAAGAUACUGGGCUUAGUUGAGAGGAGAGAGUCAACUAAAGAGUAACUGAAGUAGGGGAAGAGAUCCUGAACUUGGGAGAAGCCAGGCCAUUUUAAGUACUUUCUAACUUACCAUUAAGAGCAACUGAAAGUUAUUUAAUGGUUUUACACAAGUUCAGAUUUGCAUUUUGAAAAGAUGACUCUGGUUGCUAUAAUGAAAUGGAUUUGAGGGGGCAAGAAUGAAAGAAGGGAGGCCUUUCAGGAUUACGGUUAGACAGUGAAACAGUGAAGUUGGAGAGAAGAGAUGUCUUUGAUACUUAGAAAGUAAAACUGAUGUGGGUUGGUGGUAGGUUUUAUGUAGACAGAAAGCAAAAGUAUCGAAAAUGAUGCCUGCACUUCUGACUUACAUAACCAGUUGAGUUACGUGUUUCCGUUCACUGAAAUACGAAAUAAUGGAAGAGAACCAGGGCUGGGUAAUGACCCUGCAUUCAAUAUGCUGAAUAUGAGGUACCUCCCAAUACAGGUCUGGGCAAGAGAAGCAAAGAUGGAUCUAACUGGCCUAGAGACAGUAGGUGAAUUCAUGGAUGUGGAUAAAGCUGCCAAGGGAAAAAGGCUAAGUGAAAAGGUGGCCAGAGGAGUCCAGGAGAAUGCAAAGGAGCAGUCAGAGGUGUAGGAGGAGACUAGGUGAGUGAGUGAGUCAGGGAGUCCAUGGCAGAGUCUUUUUGUGGAGAAGAGCAGUCACAGUGCUGGUUACUGAACACAUCAAGGGGAGCAUCUUCAGGCAGUGGUGGGGCCUGUACUGAAAUGCUUGGGAUGUAAGGAAAUACAAACUUUAUGGUUUUUCCAAAGGGCUUGGCUUUGAAGAGAGAAAGGAUUUAGUAGAGAUUGGGCAGGUGGAGUGAGACAUCCAACCACGUUCCAAUGUCAGCGGACCAUCCAGUUGAGUGGAGACUAUAGUCAAAAAACUCACAGAAGGUGGGAGAAAAUAGGAUCCAAAACGCUCGUGGACGGGAAGACUGGAUUCUGGUUGGAAGAGGGCUACCUUUUGAAAUUUAACAGAUGCAGUUCUUGGCCGAAGAGGACCAUAAGGCUGGUUCCUUGCCGCAAGAAGAGGAGACCCAUGGAAGACGCCACACUGGCACUCAAAGCUUCUUCGAAGCACAUGAGGUCCAAAGUAAGUGGAAGGUCUCAUCAGGGCUUGGAGACAGGGUAGGGGAGUUAUUGGGAAGUCCUCAACCUUGGCCAGAUCAGUGGUGGGGACACAGCUAGCCUAUACAGGCCUGAGCCAUGGCCAAGGUUUAACAUCUACGGCCAGACGGAGACAGAGCAUUGUUCUGUGAAGAAAGCUCAACCUGGAAAAGAUAGGCCUAGGACCGGUGUCCACCCAGCUCCGAGCUACUUCCAUGCUGGUGGUCAGCUUCUCUAGCCAGGAAAACAAUGAGCCCCUCUAGUCUUGGUCUGUCCCUUUACCUGCCUCAGUGAGGCUGCAGUUAAGAUGCCAAGAGAGAAUCCCAGGGCUCAGAUCACGGAAUAGGACACAGAGCUAGAUUCUGACGAAGGAGGCCAAGACUCACUGCCAAGACUGGAGUAAAGGAGCUGCAGGAUACCCCUCCAAGUGGUUAGUAGACUGGUCCCCAUGCCGUUUCCACUGGCUCAGGAUCAAGCAAAUCAUGGGGCAAC